rnacentral:rRNA from 1 species
CAGUAGCCACGGUAAUACAGAGGGUGCGAGCGUUAAUCGGAUUUACUGGGCGUAAAGCGUGCGUAGGCGGCUAAUUGAGUCGGAUGUGAAAUCCCCGAGCUUAACUUGGGAAUUGCAUUUGAUACUGGUUAGCUAGAGUGUGGGAGAGGAUGGUAGAAUUCCAGGUGUAGCGGUGAAAUGCGUAGAGAUCUGGAGGAAUACCGAUGGCGAAGGCAGCCAUCUGGCCUAACACUGACGCUGAGGUACGAAAGCAUGGGGAGCAAACAGGAUUAGAGACCCCCGUAGUCCCUGUCUCUUAUAC